rnacentral:rRNA from 1 species
UACGGAGGGUGCAAGCGUUGUCCGGAUUUAUUGGGUUUAAAGGGUGCGUAGGCGGCCCGUUAAGCCAGUGGUGAAAGCCUCCAGCUCAACUGGAGAACUGCCAUUGAUACUGGCGGGCUUGAGUACAGACGAGGUAGGCGGAAUUGAUUGUGUAGCGGUGAAAUGCAUAGAUACAAUCAAGAACACCGAUUGCGUAGGCAGCUUACUAGGCUGUAACUGACGCUGAGGCACGAAAGCGUGGGGAGCGAACAGG